rnacentral:misc_RNA from 1 species
UGCUUGUUUAAUGUGUAUGAGCAUGGUUGUUGUCUUGUGAAUGGUUGUCUUGCGCUUGGAAUUGAGGUUGGUUGCUUGUGAUGCGGCUGCCCAUUUGUUGAGUGUUUCAUGCGCAUGGUGUUGAGCUUUCUUGCCGUGAGCUUGUUGCUUGUGGUUGCUUGAAGCGCAUGAUAUUGAGGUUAGUUGCUUGUUUACCUUGCGUGAUUAUUGGUUCCUUGUGGUAACUUGUGAUUGCCGUGAGGUUGCUUUGCAUGAGAUUGUUGCUUG